UUUACUAUCAGCAGGUAUGAGUCCAAAUUAAUGUAACUAUGGGUCAUAAAGAGAAGGCUUGGGGUUUUGGUGACGGUAUCUGAUGUGAAUCUUUCUUUUCUUAAUAGCUUAAGAUGAAAAUCACAGACUUUGAGAACAGGCGAAGUUUUAAAUGUAUAUGGUUAAACAGCCAAUUUAGGGAAGAGGAAAUAACACUAUAUCCAGACAAGCAUGGGUGUGUCCGGGACCUGUUAGAAGAAUGUAAAAAGGCCGUGGAGCUUGGGGAGAAAGCAUCAGGGAAACUUAGGCUGCUAGAAAUUGUAAGCUACAAAAUCAUUGGUGUUCAUCAAGAAGAUGAACUAUUAGAAUGUUUAUCUCCUGCAACGAGCCGGACGUUUCGAAUAGAGGAAAUCCCUUUGGACCAGGUGGACAUAGACAAAGAGAAUGAGAUGCUUGUCACAGUGGCGCAUUUCC
rnacentral:sRNA from 1 species